AAACGCUGGCAACACCGAUCGCCUGUGGCUAGCAGUAUUGCGACCCUUUCGUUCGGUGUAGUGUCUUAACCUAACUAAGGUCUUUGGCAGUGUCGUCCUCCCACUUCCUUCAAAACAAAAAAACAAUUAUGUCUGCCGCGUGGAACCUAACUGCUAACACAUGCCACACGAAAAAUACCUGGCGUGGGUAUAGCACGUUAAAAAAGUUUUAAAAUGGGAUUUGAAGAACAACACUUGACGCAGUACGACGGCUAAGCUAAUGACCCGAAAAAUAAUUGAAUUCAUCGGACAAGACGAGCAGGCUUUCUCAGCGGUGGAAGACACAGACUUCGCCACAGUCACCUCACCUUUGGAAGUUUCAGAGUGAUAUAUAUUGUCUUCAAAAAUUAUCCAUUAUGAUGCCCUUACCGAACCUCGAUUUGAACACACACUUGUCCAAGUGGCUGCUCACUGCUAAUUUGGGAUUCAAUUUCAGAUGGAAACACUGACCAGAAAACAGGUGAGAUUAUGUAUGAGAUAUUCUGCCUUUUAAUUAUUUGAUUUGUUUAUUAAACUAAAUUAAUGUAUUUAAUACAUUUAUUAAAUACAAUCCUCCCAAAUGUUUAUUUUUCAAUAUUUAGCUAUUUGCCAGGGGCCCUUGACCAAUAACUCUAAUCAUAAAUAAAUAAAAAAAUGUUAAUCCAUGUGACCCAUAUCGGUACGUUCGCACUCAUGGAUGGUUGGUAUCGGAAUCUGCAGCAUAAAACCCUGACUGCAGCUGUAGAUAUUUUUCUACUUUUUAAUGUGUUUAUUAUUAUUUUUAAUUUAUAUUUAUUAUUUUUCUACCUUUUGAAUUAACUAUCAGACAUCUUAGGUCGGAUAUUGUGAAAGUUUGAAGUCGACUGGUUGUAAAUUGCAACUUGCAGACACAUGUGUCACAAUAAAUUGUCUUUUUUUUUACCUGAAAAAAGUGUUACAAAUAAAAUAUCAACCAAGUUCAUGCAACGAUAUUUAGCAGAAUAAACCAAACUGUGGUUAAUAGUGGAUCGGUUAAUAUCUUGUGUUAGAAUAACACUUUAGACAAACGGCUGAAUUUGUUCAAAUGUGACAUUCCCGUUACAUUUCUUUGAGUUUAUUUUACGUUUUGUAGGUAAAAUGAAAAAAAUCAUAGUUCGCAACUGUUGUUUUUUUGAGCUUGGUAAUUCUGUCAGUGACCAUUCAUCACCUCUUCAUUCUGUACUUUGAUAACAGAAGGAACAACAAUGUGAGAUAUGGUAUGAUAUGAUAUGACCUUUCUGGGUUAGAUCUUUUAAAAUCAGGACUCCUCAGUCAUCAGCUAAAGUGAAGUAGAUCAGGAGUCUGCAACCUUUUUGCUGUUAAGUUCCGUGUCAACGUUUGGAAGUUAAUGUGCCGCAGCAACCUUGGAUGUUGCAUGACUAAAUGUAUUUAUGAUCACACAACAAAGUGUUUUUUUUUUAAGACAAUUCAACCUUAUUUAUUUACUUCAAACAUAAUAAACAAACUAAAAUCAAGUUGAACAGUUGGCAGUUGGUCAGUUUGUCCAGUCUUUUAUGCAUAGGCGCUCCUUGCAGUGAGUGUCAUGUAUUUCUUACACCGGUGGGCGGA